AAGGGUCCGUAGGCGGGCAUAUAAGUCAGUGGUGAAAGUCUGUGGCUCAACCAUAGAAUUGCCAUUGAUACUGUAUGUCUUGAAUUAUUGUGAAGUGGUUAGAAUAUGUAGUGUAGCGGUGAAAUGCUUAGAGAUUACAUAGAAUACCGAUUGCGAAGGCAGAUCACUAACAAUAUAUUGACGCUGAUGGACGAAAGCGUAGGUAGCGAACAGGAUUAGAUACCCUGGUAGUCUACGCCGUAAACGAUGGAUACUAGUUGUUUGGCCUUCGGGCUGAGUGACUAAGCGAAAGUGAUAAGUAUCCCACCUGGGGAGUACGUUCGCAAGAAUGAAACUCAAAGGAAUUGACGGGGGCCCGCACAAGCGGUGGAGCAUGUGGUUUAAUUCGAUGAUACGCGAGGAACCUUACCAGGGCUUAAAUGUAGUCUGACAGCUUUAGAGAUAGAGUUUUCUUCGGACAGAUUACAAGGUGCUGCAUGGUUGUCGUCAGCUCGUGCCGUGAGGUGUCAGGUUAAGUCCUAUAACGAGCGCAACCCCUGUGGUUAGUUGCCAGCGAGUAAUGUCGGGAACUCUAGCCAGACUGCCGGUGCAAACCGUGAGGAAGGUGGGGAUGACGUCAAAUCAUCACGGCCCUUACGUCCUGGGCCACACACGUGCUACAAUGGUAGGGACAGAGAGCAGCCACUUAGCGAUAAGGAGCGAAUCUAUAAACCCUAUCUCAGUUCGGAUUGGAGUCUGCAACUCGACUCCAUGAAGCUGGAAUCGCUAGUAAUCGGAUAUCAGCCAUGAUCCGGUGAAUACGUUCCCGGGCCUUGUACACACCGCCCGUCAAGCCAUGGAAGCUGGGGGUACCUGAAGUCCGUCACCGUAAGGAGCGGCCUAGGGUAAAACUGG
rnacentral:rRNA from 1 species